rnacentral:rRNA from 1 species
GAUGAACGCUAGCUACAGGCUUAACACAUGCAAGUCGAGGGGCAGCGCAGUGUAGCAAUACAUGGGCGGCGACCGGCGCACGGGUGCGUAACGCGUAUCCAACCUUCCCGUUACUCUUGGAUAGCCUUCCGAAAGGGAGAUUAAUACAAGAUGGUAUUCAAAUUCCGCAUGUUAUUUGAAUUAAAGAUUUAUCGGUAUCGGAUGGGGAUGCGUGACAUUAGAUAGUAGGCGGGUAACGGCCCACCUAGUCUACGAUGUCUAGGGGUUCUGAGAGGAAGGUCCCCCCACACUGGAACUGAGACACGGUCCAGACUCCUACGGGAGGCAGCAGUGAGGAAUAUUGGUCAAUGGUCGGAAGACUGAACCAGCCAAGUAGCGUGAAGGAUGAAGGUUCUAUGGAUUGUAAACUUCUUUUAUACGGGAAUAAAACACCUUACGUGUAGGGUCUUGUAUGUACCAUAUGAAUAAGCAUCGGCUAACUCCGUGCCAGCAGCCGCGGU